rnacentral:pre_miRNA from 1 species
AAGAUACUCCCUCCGUCCGGAAAUACUUGUCGAAGAAAUGCAUAAAAAUGGAUGUAUCUAGAACUAAAAUACGUCUAGAUACAUCCAUUCCUCCGACAAGUAUUUUCGGACGGAGGGAGUACAUA